AUACUUACCUGGCACAAAGGUUAACCGUGAUCACUAAAGGGGGUUCCUUCAGGGUGAGGCCUGUCCAUUGCACUUCGGGCGGGCUGACCUCUGCGAGUAUCCCUAAUGUGGAUACCUCGGGUGCACAAUUUUUGAUAGUCGGGACUGCGUACGCGCGGUCCCCGG